rnacentral:rRNA from 3 species
GGUUAAGCGACUAAGCGUACACGGUGGAUGCCCUGGCAGUCAGAGGCGAUGAAGGACGUGCUAAUCUGCGAAAAGCGUCGGUAAGGUGAUAUGAACCGUUACAGCCGGCGAUGUCCGAAUGGGGAAACCCAGUGUGAUUCGUCACACUAUCGUUAACUGAAUACAUAGGUUAACGAGGCGAACCGGGGGAACUGAAACAUCUAAGUACCCCGAGGAAAAGAAAUCAACCGAGAUUCCCCCAGUAGCGGCGAGCGAACGGGGAGCAGCCCAGAGUCUGAAUCAGCUUGUGUGUUAGUGGAACGGUCUGGAAAGUCCGACGGUACAGGGUGAUAGUCCCGUACACCAAAAUGCACAGGCUGUGAACUCGAAGAGUAGGGCGGGACACGUGGUAUCCUGUCUGAAUAUGGGGGGACCAUCCUCCAAGGCUAAAUACUCCUGACUGACCGAUAGUGAACCAGUACCGUGAGGGAAAGGCGAAAAGAACCCCGGCGAGGGGAGUGAAAAAGAACCUGAAACCGUGUACGUACAAGCAGUGGGAGCACCUUCGGGUGUGACUGCGUACCUUUUGUAUAAUGGGUCAGCGACUUAUAUUCUGUAGCAAGGUUAACCGUAUAGGGGAGCCGCAGGGAAACCGAGUCUUAACUGGGCGUUAAGUUGCAGGGUAUAGACCCGAAACCCGGUGAUCUAGCCAUGGGCAGGUUGAAGGUUGGGUAACACUAACUGGAGGACCGAACCGACUAAUGUUGAAAAAUUAGCGGAUGACUUGUGGCUGGGGGUGAAAGGCCAAUCAAACCGGGAGAUAGCUGGUUCUCCCCGAAAGCUAUUUAGGUAGCGCCUCGUGAAUUCAUCUUCGGGGGUAGAGCACUGUUUCGGCUAGGGGGUCAUCCCGACUUACCAACCCGAUGCAAACUACGAAUACCGAAGAAUGUUAUCACGGGAGACACACGGCGGGUGCUAACGUCCGUCGUGAAGAGGGAAACAACCCAGACCGCCAGCUAAGGUCCCAAAGUCAUGGUUAAGUGGGAAACGAUGUGGGAAGGCACAGACAGCCAGGAUGUUGGCUUAGAAGCAGCCAUCAUUUAAAGAAAGCGUAAUAGCUCACUGGUCGAGUCGGCCUGCGCGGAAGAUGUAACGGGGCUAAACCAUGCACCGAAGCUGCGGCAGCGACACUAUGUGUUGUUGGGUAGGGGAGCGUUCUGUAAGCCUGCGAAGGUGACCUGUGAGGGUUGCUGGAGGUAUCAGAAGUGCGAAUGCUGACAUAAGUAACGAUAAAGCGGGUGAAAAGCCCGCUCGCCGGAAGACCAAGGGUUCCUGUCCAACGUUAAUCGGGGCAGGGUGAGUCGACCCCUAAGGCGAGGCCGAAAGGCGUAGUCGAUGGGAAACAGGUUAAUAUUCCUGUACUUGGUGUUACUGCGAAGGGGGGACGGAGAAGGCUAUGUUAGCCGGGCGACGGUUGUCCCGGUUUAAGCAUGUAGGCUGGUUAUCCAGGCAAAUCCGGAUAAUCAAGGCUGAGGUGUGAUGACGAGGCACUACGGUGCUGAAGUAACAAAUGCCCUGCUUCCAGGAAAAGCCUCUAAGCAUCAGGUAACAUCAAAUCGUACCCCAAACCGACACAGGUGGUCAGGUAGAGAAUACCAAGGCGCUUGAGAGAACUCGGGUGAAGGAACUAGGCAAAAUGGUGCCGUAACUUCGGGAGAAGGCACGCUGGUGUGUAGGUGAAGUCCCUGCGGAUGGAGCUGAGACCAGUCGAAGAUACCAGCUGGCUGCAACUGUUUAUUAAAAACACAGCACUGUGCAAACACGAAAGUGGACGUAUACGGUGUGACGCCUGCCCGGUGCCGGAAGGUUAAUUGAUGGGGUUAUCCGUAAGGAGAAGCUCUUGAUCGAAGCCCCGGUAAACGGCGGCCGUAACUAUAACGGUCCUAAGGUAGCGAAAUUCCUUGUCGGGUAAGUUCCGACCUGCACGAAUGGCGUAAUGAUGGCCAGGCUGUCUCCACCCGAGACUCAGUGAAAUUGAACUCGCUGUGAAGAUGCAGUGUACCCGCGGCAAGACGGAAAGACCCCGUGAACCUUUACUAUAGCUUGACACUGAACAUUGAGCCUUGAUGUGUAGGAUAGGUGGGAGGCUUUGAAGCGUGGACGCCAGUCUGCGUGGAGCCAACCUUGAAAUACCACCCUUUAAUGUUUGAUGUUCUAACGUUGGCCCCUUACCGGGGUUGCGGACAGUGUCUGGUGGGUAGUUUGACUGGGGCGGUCUCCUCCCAAAGCGUAACGGAGGAGCACGAAGGUUAGCUAAUCCUGGUCGGACAUCAGGAGGUUAGUGCAAUGGCAUAAGCUAGCUUGACUGCGAGCGUGACGGCGCGAGCAGGUGCGAAAGCAGGUCAUAGUGAUCCGGUGGUUCUGAAUGGAAGGGCCAUCGCUCAACGGAUAAAAGGUACUCCGGGGAUAACAGGCUGAUACCGCCCAAGAGUUCAUAUCGACGGCGGUGUUUGGCACCUCGAUGUCGGCUCAUCACAUCCUGGGGCUGAAGUAGGUCCCAAGGGUAUGGCUGUUCGCCAUUUAAAGUGGUACGCGAGCUGGGUUUAGAACGUCGUGAGACAGUUCGGUCCCUAUCUGCCGUGGGCGCUGGAGAAUUGAGGGGGGCUGCUCCUAGUACGAGAGGACCGGAGUGGACGCAUCACUGGUGUUCGGGUUGUCAUGCCAAUGGCACUGCCCGGUAGCUAAAUGCGGAAGAGAUAAGUGCUGAAAGCAUCUAAGCACGAAACUUGCCCCGAGAUGAGUUCUCCCUGAGACUUUAAGUCUCCUGAAGGAACGUUAAAGACGAUGACGUUGAUAGGCCGGGUGUGUAAGCGCAGCGAUGCGUUGAGCUAACCGGUACUAAUGAACCGUGAGGCUUAACCUU